rnacentral:rRNA from 1 species
AGCUUAUUGUUAUAAUUUAUAAUAAGUUAUUUCUGCCCUGUGAAAAUUUUUAACGGCCGCAGUACUUUGACUGUGCUAAGGUAGCAAAAUAAUUAGGCUUUUAAUUGGAGUCGGGAAUGAAAGAAAUUUAUAAUGAGAUACUGUCUUUAUUUUAUUUUUUAAAAAUUACUUAUAUGGUGAAAAUUCCAUUAAAUAAACCAAAAGACGAGAAGACCCUAAGAAUUAUUAAUCUAAGUAAUUAUUUUACUUUUUUUUUUGUUGGGGCAACAUUAAUUAUAAAAAUUAAUUUAAAUAUUUCACUUAAGAAAAUUUAUUUAAUAAGAAAUAAAUUACCUUAGGGAUAACAGCAUAAUUAUUAUUAUAGAUUAUGACCUCGAUGUUGGACUAAGGAAAAUAUAUAGUUAGCCAUUAUAUAUACA